rnacentral:tRNA from 5 species
GCACCCGUAGCUCAAUGGAUAGAGCACCAGACUACGAAUCUGGGGGUUGGAGGUUCGAGUCCUUCCGGGUGCGCCA